rnacentral:rRNA from 1 species
UACAGAGGGGGGCAAGCGUUGUUCGGAAUUACUGGGCGUAAAGGGUGCGUAGGCGGUUGUUUAAGUCUGUCGUGAAAUCCCCCGGGCUCAACCUGGGAAUGGCGAUGGAUACUGGACAGCUAGAGUCCGGGAGAGGAGAGUGGAAUUCCUGGUGUAGCGGUGAAAUGCGCAGAUAUCAGGAAGAACACCCGUGGCGAAAGCGGCUCUCUGGAACGGUACUGACGCUGAGACGCGAAAGCGUGGGGAGCAAACGGG